GGGCACAUGGUGUAGAUGGUUUAUCACGCCCGCUUAGCAUAGAUAUCUUCGAGUUGUAUGCGGGAGGUGUUGGGUUCAAGUCCCAAUGUGUCCA